GCAAAGACUAUUCAGACAGCUGCUGAGAGGGAAAAUGAGACUUGUGGAGCACAGGGGAUGCAAAAGAUCCUUGGGAGUCUUCCAAAACUCCAACCUUCCUGCUGGCCAGAGCAGCUGCAACAGCCUGAGUCCUGUGGGAAGGGAGGAGGGACUUGGCACCUGAGUAAGACCUUCAGGAACAAGGUAAUGGGACUCGGCUGCCCUAAGCCCAAGGUUUGGGGUUCCCAUGUUCUCCAGCAUCCCUGUAACCUGCUAACACCUCCCAGCAGAAAUAAAUUGUUCCAAACCAAGUUAAUGUAGUUUUAGCAUUUCUCGCUCUGCAAGGAGUGAGGGGAUGCAGCAGCCAUCUCACUGCUCAGUUCUUGUUCAGCAGCCCAGAGCCACAUCCCAUCUCAGGGCUUCAGGAAACAGAAAACUCGGCCACCUCAAUCCUUGAGAGCACAGUUUGCCCCUUCUGCAGCCUCAGGUGUUCAUUCCCAGCAGGGAGCUGCCCCCCAGCCUCCAGCACAUGGCCUUUCUUUUGCUGUUCUCAUGCAGGCAUCCCAAAUCCCCACCAGCAGUCAGGGGUAGGUAAUAGACAGCUGUGUGUGACAUGUGCUGUGGUGUAAGUGUCGGUAACCACCAACAUGUUCUGCACACAGGGGCUGUGCUUUGUGUCUGGGACAGCUCCCAAAGCAGCAAAGCAUUUGGAGGGGCAAACCCAGCAGGAGCUCUGGGCUGGCUCUUACCCACCCCUGUGCAGCAGAUCCCAGGUUGUUUGGGCUGUGCUGCAUCCUGCUUUCCCCCACGUUCCAGCAUCCAGGUGUCCCUGGGCUGUGUUUGUUUUUCAGGUAGCACUUCCUUGCCUUUCAGAGUUCAGUCUCUGCUCUCAGACAUUUCCUGUGGGUUGAACGCAUCCUACCAAGCGUUCCCACCCCUCAGUGCCAUGGCCUCUAGCAUUAAUAACCCAGUGGUUAUUCACUUGCUGCCAUCACUUAUUAUUUUUUCUUUUUAAUUUUUUUUUUUAAUUUUUCCUUCUUAGUCUAUUCCUAAAGACAUCCCCGGAGCCAAUAUGCUUCAGUUGCUGAGAUCUGCCCACCUCUCUGACAGGUGGGUGGUGGAUGCUCAGUGCCUCUGUCCUGGGGAUGGAGGUGGCACUCAGUGCUGUGCUGCAGCUCUCAUCUGGCUGCACUUGCUCUGCGUUGGUGCAGCACUGCAGGGUCUCUCGCAGGCACAGUUGCACUCUUUGCUGCUCUCCUGCAGUAGCCAUGUCCUCGGCACAGGCAGUGCUGUGAUAGCAGAAGUUGGGCUCCCAUUCCCUCUUUUGGUGCUUUGUAGAAAAGCACGGCCAUAUUGGGAUCUCAGCCUGGGCAGGGAGAAGCUCGAGGAUGGAGAAAAAGGGACAGAAGCGGUGAGGUGGCACUGGAGAUGGCAUGGGGUGAGUGGUGCCUGGGGUCUGUCCCCAUGUCUGUGGGUCAGCACCAUCACCUCCCUGGGGCACAGGGCUCAUCCUGCUGCCCCAGAGUGAUGUCACACUGCAGGAAGAGCCGUGGAGGGUUCAAGAGAGGGGCAGGGAUAGGGCUGUUCUCCCUCAGAACUGUGGUGCGUGUGCCUGGGCUGCUCCUUCCCUCUGGCCUAGGAGAUGCCUAGCAGUGGUUCCUGGUCAUGUUUGAGUCCAUUGCUGGUUUGGGUCGUUCUGUUACAAAAGCAAAGCUCUGCAGAGCCAGCAGAGCCCCUGGCUGUGUCCCCUCACGUCCUGGAGGAGCUGUGGCUGCAUCCUCUACCAGGUACUCAUUAUGGUUAAUUGCGGUGUCCCGUUUAACUUGCCUUAAAGGUGGGGAGAGAAACUUAGUAUUUGCACUUAGCAAAACGUCCUAUGAAAAGAAAGAAACCCUGUAAAGAUGUGCAUGUUCUGCAACUUUGUAUAACAAUAGCUGAAAAACAAAUAGGUUGGUUUAUUGAAAUAAAAUAAAUAAAUAUUUUUCUUUACCUUCUGGUAGUAAAACCGUUCUCAUAUUCCGUGUGUACAGAGUUUCCCUGUAUUAUAUUGUAAUUUGGAUUUUUUUGUGUGUUGUUUUUGUAAAUAAAUCUGUGCACUCUGGCUUCCAGCUCCAGGCUGUGCUUAUGGGAUGGGGGGAGCAGACACGUCCUCCCCCAGCUUAACGCUCUCCAAAUGCUGUCGGGAGAAAUGGAAUAGAAAAUGGUUUCCAGUCGCUCCUGUAAAUGGAAACCAGGAGGUGUGAGCACGGCUCAGUGGGGCGCGGGGCUGAAGCCAGGAGGAGCAGCUCUGACCCACACUGGCUCUGGAGCAUCCUGGGGGCUGCUGGGCACCACAGAACGCCCCCCAGCCUCCAUCCAGCGAUGGCUUUGAGGCCGGAGGAAGGAGCCAAUGGGUACCAGUCACACAGAGCCCUGGGCUGCGCUGCCUGACCACAAACCCACAGCUCCAGCUGCCAGGCUGUGCCCCAUGGAUGCCAAUGGGUUGAGGACCCCCUGAGCCCCAACAGACCACACGUCGCCACUCGUAUCCGAAUGCAGUCAAGAGGUGGCACGCGGCCGCAGCUCAGGAGGAGCCCCACAGGAGCCCCCCAGCCCGGCCAAUGGGUGCUCAGCGAUUGGCAUCACUGUUCCAGUAUUCAAUGAGGAAAAAAAGAAAAGAAAAAAGUAAAA